rnacentral:rRNA from 1 species
UGGGGAAUAUUGCACAAUGGGCGAAAGCCUGAUGCAGCAACGCCGCGUGAGUGAUGAAGGUCUUCGGAUUGUAAAGCUCUGUCUUUUGGGACGAUAAUGACGGUACCAAAGGAGGAAGCCACGGCUAACUACGUGCCAGCAGCCGCGGUAAUACGUAGGUGGCGAGCGUUGUCCGGAUUUACUGGGCGUAAAGGGUGCGUAGGCGGAUGUUUAAGUGAGAUGUGAAAUACCCGGGCUUAACUUGGGUGCUGCAUUUCAAACUGGAUAUCUAGAGUGCAGGAGAGGAGAAUGGAAUUCCUAGUGUAGCGGUGAAAUGCGUAGAGAUUAGGAAGAACACCAGUGGCGAAGGCGAUUCUCUGGACUGUAACUGACGCUGAGGCACGAAAAGCGUGGGUAGCAAACAGGAUUAGAUACCCUGGUAGUCCACGCCGUAAACGAUGAGUACUAGGUGUAGGAGGUAUCGACCCCUUCUGUGCCGCAGUAAACACAUUAAGUACUCCGCCUGGGAAGUACGAUCGCAAGAUUAAAACUCUAAAGUGAAUUGAC